rnacentral:tRNA from 1 species
GUCCUAAUAGAUAAGGCACUGGCCUUUCAAGCCAGAUAUUGUGGGUUCAAAGCCCAC